GCGGUUGUAGCUCAGCUGGAUAGAGCAUUCGCCUCCUAAGCGAAGGGUCGGGCGUUCGAAUCGCCCCAGUCGCA
rnacentral:tRNA from 1 species